CAGUCGCCACGGUAAAACGAAGGGUGCAAGCGUUACUCGGAAUUACUGGGCGUAAAGCGUGCGUAGGUGGUGGUUUAAGUCCGUUGUGAAAGCCCUGGGCUCAACCUGGGAAUUGCAGUGGAUACUGGGUCACUAGAGUGUGGUAGAGGAUAGUGGAAUUUCCGGUGUAGCAGUGAAAUGCGUAGAGAUCGGAAGGAACAUCUGUGGCGAAGGCGACUAUCUGGGCCAACACUGACGCUGAGGCACGAAAGCGUGGGGAGCAAACAGGAUUAGAUACCCCCGUAGUCCCUGUCUCUUAUAC
rnacentral:rRNA from 1 species